rnacentral:rRNA from 1 species
GACGAACGCUGGCGGCGUGCUUAACACAUGCAAGUCGAACGGAAAGACCCUGCUUUUGUGGGGUGCUCGAGUGGCGAACGGGUGAGUAACACGUGAGUAACCUGCCCUUGACUUUGGGAUAACUUCAGGAAACUGGGGCUAAUACCGGAUAGGAGCUCCUGCUGCAUGGUGGGGGUUGGAAAGUUUCGGCGGUUGGGGAUGGACUCGCGGCUUAUCAGCUUGUUGGUGGGGUAGUGGCUUACCAAGGCUUUGACGGGUAGCCGGCCUGAGAGGGUGACCGGUCACAUUGGGACUGAGAUACGGCCCAGACUCCUACGGGAGGCAGCAGUGGGGAAUAUUGCACAAUGGGCGGAAGCCUGAUGCAGCAACGCCGCGUGCGGGAUGACGGCCUUCGGGUUGUAAACCGCUUUCGCCUGUGACGAAGCGUGAGUGACGGUAAUGGGUAAAGAAGCACCGGCUAACUACGUG